UACGGGAAGGCAGCAGUGGGGAAUAUUGCACAAUGGGCGCAAGCCUGAUGCAGCCAUGCCGCGUGUAUGAAAAAGGCCUUCGGGUUGUAAAGUACUUUCAGUCGUGAGGAAGGUGUUAAGGUUAAUAACCUUAGCAAUUGACGUUAGCGACAGAAGAAGCACCGGCUAACUCCGUGCCAGCAGCCGCGGUAAUACGGAGGGUGCGAGCGUUAAUCGGAAUUACUGGGCGUAAAGGGCACGCAGGCGGUUAAUUAAGUUGGAUGUGAAAUCCCCGGGCUUAACCUGGGAAUGGCAUUCAAGACUGGUUAGCUAGAGUCUUGUAGAGGGGGUAGAAUUCCAUGUGUAGCGGUGAAAUGCGUAGAGAUGUGGAGGAAUACCGGUGGCGAAGGCGGCCCCUGGACAAAGCUGGACGCUCAUGUGCGAAAGCGUGGGGAGCAAACAGGGAUUAGAUACC
rnacentral:rRNA from 1 species